AUUGAACGCUGGCGGCAGGCCUAAAACAUGCAAGUCGAGCGAGCGGCGGACGGGUGAGUAAUGUCUGGGAAACUACCUCAUGGAGGGGGAUAACUACUGGAAACGGUAGCUAAUACCGCAUACCAUCAGAUGUGCCCAGAUGGGAUUAGCUAGUAGGUGGGGUAACGGUUCACCUAGGCGACGAUCCCUAGCUGGUCUGAGAGGAUGACCAGCCACACUGGAACUGAGACACGGUCCAGACUCCUACGGGAGGCAGUAUUGGGGAAUAUUGCACAAUGGGCGCAAGCCUGAUGCAGCCAUGCCGAGUGUGUGAAGAAGGCCUUCGGGUGGUAAAGCACUUUCAGCGGGGAGGCGUUACCCGCAGAAGAAGCACCGGCUAACUCCGUGCCAGCAGCUGCGGUAAUUC
rnacentral:rRNA from 1 species